rnacentral:rRNA from 1 species
UACGUAGGGUGCGAGCGUUGUCCGGAAUUAUUGGGCGUAAAGAGCUCGUAGGCGGUGUGUCACGUCGGCCGUGAAAACCUGCAGCUUAACUGUGGGCGUGCGGUCGAUACGGGCAUCACUGGAGUUCGGCAGGGGAGACUGGAAUUCCUGGUGUAGCGGUGAAAUGCGCAGAUAUCAGGAGGAACACCGGUGGCGAAGGCGGAUCUCUGGGCCAUUACUGACGCUGAGGAGCGAAAGCGUGGGGAGCGAACAGG